UUGUUGCAGUUAAAAAGCUCGUAGUUGGAUGUUGUGGUUUGUUAAAUUCGAUGCCUUUUGGUAUUCGGUUUAGCAGCCACUUUUUCUCGAGGCAUAUAGGUGCACCUAACCGUGUGUUUAUAUUGUUCGGGACUUUUACCGUGAGAAAAUUAGAGUGUCCAUAGCAGGCUAGUGCUUGAAUAUUACAGCAUGGAAUAAUGGAAUAGGAUCAUGAUCUUAUUUUGUUGGUUUCUAAGAUCAAGAUAAUGAUUAAUAGGGAUAGUUGGGGGCAUUAAUAUUUAGUUGUCAGAGGUGAAAUUCUUAGAUUUACAAAAGAUUAACUUCUGCGAAAGCAUUUGCCAAGGAUGUUUUCGUUAAUCAAGAACGAAAGUUGAGGGAUCGAAGAUGAUCAGAUACCGUCGUAGUCUCAACCAUAAACUAUGCCGACUAGGGAUUGGUGGUCGUUAAUUAAUGUCACCAUCAGCACCUUAUGAGAAAUCAAAGUUUUUGGGUUCUGGGGGGAGUAUGGUCGCAGGGCUGAAACUU
rnacentral:rRNA from 1 species